GAUGAAGAACUCAGCGAAAUGCGAUAAGUAAUGUGAAUUGCAGAAUUCAGUGAAUCAUCAAAUCUUUGAACGCACCUUGCGCUCUUUGGUAUUCCGAAGAGCAUGCCUGUUUGAGUGUCAUGAAAAUAUCAACCUUGACUUGGGUUUUGUGCUCUAGUCUCGGCUUGGAAUUGGGUGCUUGCCGCUUUUACGAGCGGCUCACCUUAAAUGUAUUAGCUGGAUCUGUCUUUGAGACUUGGUUUGACUUGGCGUAAUAAGUAUUUCGCUAAGGACAUUCUUCGGAGUGGCCUCGUUUCUAGGACGCUUGUCCGCUUUCCAAUACAAGUUCCACCUCGUGGACAUGACUUUUUAUUAUCUGGCCUCAAAUCAGGUAGGACUACCCGCUGAACUUAAGCAUAUCAAUAAGCGGAGGA
rnacentral:misc_RNA from 1 species